GAGUACGGCCGCAAGGCUGAAACUUAAAGGAAUUGGCGGGGGAGCACUACAACGGGUGGAGCCUGCGGUUUAAUUGGACUCAACGCCGGAAAACUCACCGGGGGCGACAGCAAUAUGUAGGUCAGGUUAAAGGUCUUACCUGAAUCGCUGAGAGGAGGUGCAUGGCCGUCGUCAGUUCGUACUGUGAAGCAUCCUGUUAAGUCAGGCAACGAGCAAGACUCGUGCCCACUGUUACCAGCAUAUCCUUUAUGGAUGAUGGGGACUCUGUGGGGACCGCUGCUGCUAAAGCAGAGGAAGGUGCGGGCUACGGUAGGUCAGUAUGCCCCGAAUCUCCCGGGCUACACGCGGGCUACAAUGGUUGGGACAAUGGGUAUCUACUCCGAAAGGAGUUGGCAAUCUCUUAAACCCAAUCGUAGUUCGAAUUGAGGGCUGUAACUCGCCCUCAUGAAGCUGGAAUCCGUAGUAAUCGCGUUUCAACAUAGCGCGGUGAAUCUGUCCCUGCUCCUUGCACACACCGCCCGUCAAACCAUCCGAGUGAGGUAUGGGUGAGGGCACGAACUUAGUGUCGUGCUCGAACCUAAAUUUCGCAAGGAGGGUUAAGUCGUAACAAGGUAGCCGUAGGGGAAUCUGCGGCUGGAUCACCUCCU
rnacentral:rRNA from 1 species